CCCUCCGCCCAUAAAUCCCGGCGGAUCCGCGCCCGCUCCGCUUUUUGCCAAGGAUGCUCAUCCCAGCGUGCGGUGGGAGCGUCGGUCGGAGCGCUGCGCGGAGAUCCGGAUCGAGGGCUGCUGUCGGUACUGCGCGGAGCCCGAGGUGCUCAGGUCUGCUCUGAACAGGCUUGUGGAGAUGCUUCAGCACAGACAGAUGCCAUUGACGGCCCAGAAGGACACCAAGAAACAGCUGGCAUUACCUGGGGAUGGAGGCACGGACUGUUUGCAGAGGGCCCCGGACAGCAGUUCCAGUUUCCGACCUCCCAAAGCUCCUAUACACCUGCCAGAUAUUAAAUCCUAA
rnacentral:lncRNA from 1 species